UGCGUGCAUAUGAUACGCCAAUCCUUCACAUUAAUUUCGGUGGGGAAGAGAUGCGUCCAGAUAGCACGCAUCAUCUUCAGCGGUAGUGACGUCACCAGCGAGGCUCGUCCAGUUCACCUGAUGCGCGUACACCUUCAAACAGGUAAGCAAGGUUACGUCGGAUUACAUACUCCACCACAACCUGUAAUCCAGCAGCUCUUUAAAGAAGCCAUCUCUUGUAAAAUCUCUCUCUCUCUCUGCUAGAUUUAACAGGGAACUUCAACUCCACGCUCCCAAUGCUGAUUUUGAAGAAGCUGUCAAGGGGGCUGAACAAGUCCUUCAAAGGUUCAACCCUUCACAGGAAGGCCUGUCAUGAGAUUUGAAUUUGACCAUCUUGUGCAUUUAUGAAGAAGACCAAAAGCUGCAAAGGCAUACACUUCCAAUGGAUUUCUCACAGAUUACUUAAUCAUUCUUCAACAGCUCUUCACAAUAUCAGCCCGUUCAAAAGCUUCCAGAUCUCCCUCUCUUGUGUGACACAUCUGCUCUCAGUCCUUUACUACCAACCUCCAUUCUUAGCAUUUCUGCUUGUAUUAAUUUCUCCUCUACAGUCAUCACUCCUAUAAGCUACUAUAAGCACU